AGCCAUUUCCUUCCCUUGACAGUGUUCACAAUAUAGUGCUUAAUGAUGAGAAAUAGAGACAAGUUCAAUCCAUUUCUCAAAUCAGUCCGGACUCUAUGUCUUUUAAUGCUAAUACAAAUAAGCACUCAGUUGGGUUUAAUCAGGACACAGUGCCCAGUCACCCUGUUUUCAUACCCAGAGUUAAUUUUGAGCAAAGUAGAGGGCCCUUAUUUUGCAGAUACUGCAAGAAAUCUGG
rnacentral:lncRNA from 1 species